GACGAACGCUGGCGGCGUGCUUAACACAUGCAAGUCGAACGGAAAGGCCCUGCUUUUGUGGGGUGCUCGAGUGGCGAACGGGUGAGUAACACGUGAGUAACCUGCCCUUGACUUUGGGAUAACUUCAGGAAACUGGGGCUAAUACCGGAUAGGAGCUCCUGCUGCAUGGUGGGGGUUGGAAAGUUUCGGCGGUUGGGGAUGGACUCGCGGCUUAUCAGCUUGUUGGUGGGGUAGUGGCUUACCAAGGCUUUGACGGGUAGCCGGCCUGAGAGGGUGACCGGCCACAUUGGGACUGAGAUACGGCCCAGACUCCUACGGGAGGCAGCAGUGGGGAAAAUUGCACAAUGGGCGGAAGCCUGAUGCAGCAACGCCGCGUGCGGGAUGACGGCCUUCGGGUUGUAAACCGCUUUCGCCUGUGACGAAGCGUGAGUGACGGUAAUGGGUAAAGAAGCACCGGCUAACUACGU
rnacentral:rRNA from 1 species